rnacentral:misc_RNA from 1 species
CGCACAUUGCGCCCUCUGGUAUUCCGGAGGGCAUGCCUGUCCGAGCGUCAUUAUCAACCCUCGAGCCUAGCUUGGUCUUGGGUCUCGUCGGCCUGACCGCCGGACGGACUCGAAAGGGAAUGACCGAUCCCCCGUGGAACCCUGGAUGCAGCGAGCUUUGUAGCAUGCGUCACGGUGGUCGCGGGGCUCCGGUCUGAUCAAACGUCUUUCUGAUUGACCUCGGAUCAGGUAGGGAUACCCGCUGAACUUAA